rnacentral:rRNA from 1 species
GGGCGGCAAGCCUGAACGAGCAAUGCCGCGUGAACGAGGAAGGUCUUCGGAUCGUAAAGUUCUGUUGAGAGGGAAAAAGGGUCACCAGAGGAAAUGCUGGUGAAGUGAUAUUACCUUUCGAGGAAGUCACGGCUAACUACGUGCC